CAAAUCUUAAGGGAAGGCCACGCACAUCCGCAAGUGAAAGGAAUGGUGACAUGGGCAGGUUAUAAUCCAAAAGGUUGCUAUCGAAUGUGCCUCACUGAUGGCAACUUCAGGAACCUACCCACCGGAGACGUUGUGGACAAACUUCUGCGAGAGUGGGGAGGGCUUAGUGGGCAAACCACAGGUUUAACUGAUGCUGAUGGAUUCUUUGAAGCUUCACUCUUCCAUGGUGACUACAAUCUCGAUAUUUCCCACCCUCUCACCAAUUCCACAGCUUCUCACAGCUUUAAGUUGGCUUCUGAGGACUCCAACCCAUCUCCUUCAAUUGUCUUUCGAGUUUGAGACGCUAAGUUUACAACUACUUUGUAAUGGAGUAGUUUGAUUUUUAAUUUUAGUCUUGUGUAAGGAAACUCCAGAGGGUUAUUAUUAUUCAUAAACACCAAUUAGGUUGGUUUACUAAAGUUUAAGCCCUUGAUAACAUCUAUCAAUCAAUAAUAUAUACUUAUAAGCAAUUCCAAUAUUUAACCGAUUUAAGUUUUUUUUUUGUCAUCAACUUAUAAAGAUUCAUACUGACUCUGAUCCAACAUCAAUACUAUUAAAAUAGAAGUAACUUUAUCUAUUUAAAAAUAUUCUAGGUGUAACCAUUACAUUUAACUAGCUUUCAUGGCUGGGUCUAUGUAAAAAUAUUUUUUUUACGAAUUUGGAGGGUUAAUUUUUUUUUUUUUGGGCCUAUUUGUAUGUAAUUUUUUUCAAAAACUUUAGGGGCCUGUUGCGAAUGUUUCACCCAGCAUGGCUCAGAGCCGACCCUGAUAAGAACUUUUUAAAAUUUAGAAGCUAAUGCAAAUGUUUCAUCCGGUUGUGUCCAGAACCAACACUGCCAUUUUGCUCCUAUUUGUCUGAUGUUCGUGCUUCUUGCAGGCCAAUUAUUUCGAGCAAAUCUUAAGGGAAGGCCACGCACAUCCGCAAGUGAAAGGAAUGGUGACAUGGGCAGGUUAUAAUCCAAAAGGUUGCUAUCGAAUGUGCCUCACUGAUGGCAACUUCAGGAACCUACCCACCGGAGACGUUGUGGACAAACUUCUGCGAGAGUGGGGAGGGCUUAGUGGGCAAACCACAGGUUUAACUGAUGCUGAUGGAUUCUUUGAAGCUUCACUCUUCCAUGGUGACUACAAUCUCGAUAUUUCCCACCCUCUCACCAAUUCCACAGCUUCUCACAGCUUUAAGUUGGCUUCUGAGGACUCCAACCCAUCUCCUUCAAUUGUCUUUCGAGUUUGAGACGCUAAGUUUACAACUACUUUGUAAUGGAGUAGUUUGAUUUUUAAUUUUAGUCUUGUGUAAGGAAACUCCAGAGGGUUAUUAUUAUUCAUAAACACCAAUUAGGUUGGUUUACUAAAGUUUAAGCCCUUGAUAACAUCUAUCAAUCAAUAAUAUAUACUUAUAAG
rnacentral:lncRNA from 1 species